rnacentral:tRNA from 2 species
AUAUUUUAAGACAAAAUUGCCUUCUUAAUAUCUUCAAUAUUAUGCUUUAAAUAUAAGCUACUAAAAUA